GCAUGUUAGUGGUUGAUGGAAAAUCUUGUAUUGCGCAGUCGAGAAACUAGGAGCCACAUGUUUUAGGAUAUUGAAAGUAAAUUGAAUAUACCCUGUUUGGUAACUCGGUGACUCGUGUGUUAUAGGGAAGGUAAUUAAAAUGCACAUUAUAGAUAAAGUACUUUUUAGUGAUUUGUGAAUUGCAGUCAAGUCCACAAGCUUGAUGAUUACUGAUCUAUAUUGAUCAAAUACUAAUGUUUUGAUUGUUUCUGGGUGAAAUUUUUUCUAAUUACCUUAUCGAUAGCUGUUAUGAAUAUCACAACAUGAGUAAUGGUGUCAUUAAGUUGGCUGUUCCAACCUAUUCACACCUUGGUUUUGCAAUUUAGGUUGAUUUUUUUCUUUGCUGAUUGUUAUGUAACUGGCUUGACUACUUUAAUUUGGUGCUAGUUGUGGCACUGAGAUGAAAUGGAAGAUGUGCAUGAUGAUGUGGGUGGUGAAUUUCGUGGUGGAGAAAUGGCUGUCUCGGAGUCUGAUGCUCAUGAAUCGGACUACGCGGUACAGAACAGUGAAGUAGAUGAUACCACUGAUGUUCAAGCAAGCAGAGGAGAAGACUUCCAAGGUAUUCCUUGGGAUAGACUUAGCAUUACUAGAGAGAGAUACCGGCAAACUAGGUUAGAAAGAUAAAGAAUUAUGAGAACAUUCCUAAUUCCGGAGAAGGGUCAGGGAAGGACUGCAGCAUUACAGAAAAAGGAUCUUUAUAUUAUGAGUUUCAAUGCAACACAAGAUCAGUGAAGCCAACUAUUCAUCAUUUUCAGUUGCUUGAGCAGGAAAUUGAUUUCUUUAGUGCGAUAUCUGGCAUAUCAUUCAGUCCAGACACAGAGUCGGUUUUCGUUGGAGUACGGGAUCUUACGUAUGGUUGUCUUCUCGAGUAUGGAACACAAAAGUGUGUUGCUUAAGAGAUCCUGAUAUUUAACUGAUCGUUUCUUACUUUCUUAUCAUAUUUUUUGAUCUUUUCGUUUUGUUAGCUCAAUGUCAUAUUUGUUGGAUGUAAUUGUGGGACUUCUUUAUCCUGUGAUAUCCUUGCAGUCAGUGAAG